rnacentral:rRNA from 1 species
CACGUAGGGGCCAAGCGUUGUCCGGAUUCAUUGGGCGUAAAGAGCUCGUAGGCGGUUUAGUUAGUCGGGUGUGAAAUCUCCGGGCUCAACCCGGAGGGGCCACCCGAUACUGCUGUGACUCGAGUCCGGUAGGGGAGUGGGGAAUUCCUGGUGUAGCGGUGAAAUGCGCAGAUAUCAGGAGGAACACCGGUGGCGAAAGCGGCCUUCUGGACGAGGACUGACGCUGAGAUGCGAAAGCGUGGGGAGCAAACAGG